ACGAACGCUGGCGGCAUGCCUAACCCCUGCAAGUCGCACGAGACCUUCGGGUCUAGUGGCGCACGGGUGCGUAACGCGUGGGAAUCUGCCCUUGGGUUCGGAAUAACUCGCCGAAAGGCGUGCUAAUACCGGAUGAUGACGUAAGUCCAAAGAUUUAUCGCCCAAGGAUGAGCCCGCGUUGGAUUAGCUAGUUGGUGAGGUAAAGGCUCACCAAGGCGACGAUCCAUAGCUGGUCUGAGAGGAUGAUCAGCCACACUGGGACUGAGACACGGCCCAGACUCCUACGGGAGGCAGCAGUGGGGAAUAUUGGACAAUGGGCGAAAGCCUGAUCCAGCAAUGCCGCGUGAGUGAUGAAGGCCUUAGGGUUGUAAAGCUCUUUUACCCGGGAUGAUAAUGACCGUACCGGGAGAAUAAGCUCCGGCUAACUCCGUG
rnacentral:rRNA from 1 species